rnacentral:lncRNA from 1 species
AAUGAGAACUGGGUGAACAAGUGUAGCGACGUUUCCUCAAUCACAGAGGAAGAAGAGGUCUAAGAAAAUGAGGAAAGCAGAGGCUGGAUUUGAAUUUCAGGAAGAUGCCGAUAAAAAUGGAGAUGAGGUGUCGAAGAAGAUUGGUGUCAACUUCAAACAGAGUGAGCCGCACAACAAACCAAGUUCUGGAGGUGAAAUUGAAGUGAAUGAGGGGGCUCGAUAUGGGAACCGGAACUGGGGAUAAGUAUUUGUAAGACAGUUCCCUGACCCACUGAGCGGACCGAUAGGGGGCUAAAUUCCACUCGCUCUGUCAAAGAGGAACACAGAAAUCACUUCCCACUGCUUCAGAAGCCAGAGAGGAGAGAGGAAGAGGAAGGAAGGUGACGUUGCUAAGUGACUGGUCUUCAACACUAGAACCACUCUCCUUCCUACUGGCCUCUCAAACUAACACAGCCAAGUGCAUCCAAACAAGCUAAAGAUUUAAUUAUUCACUUUUAUCAACAACAUUUCCUGUUGAACUGUCCAAACACGGGAGGGAGGCUUUAGUUUGCUUUCUCCUCUAAGUCUUUAGAGAACACUGCAUCUUCAUGUAAACCUGCUUUGAUAGAGUAGCGGCUCAAUGAGAGCUUUGUUUUGGGCACCAUUUAAUCCUUUCUGCUCCCUUCUAAUCAAUGGACACUUAGCAAACUUAGGAGAAAAGAGGCAGUUACAAAACUGACCUGGUGUCCAUUUAACACAUCAGAAAGCGGUUGGCUUGAGUUUUGGACAUCAUGCUAUGUCAUUCUCCCCCACUUGGCAUAGAUACUGUACCAGUGUCCAAUUCAGAUGGCAAUGUGACAACGAUCCAAUUACAUAAAAACUAUGAAUAAACACUUAGCUGAUGAAAAUAGAAGCUAGGAGAAUCAGCUGGACAUAGUGGUGAAUGGUGGUCUUCAGGCAGCACUUACAUGAUCAAACAACCAUAGUCCCUCCUGAGAAGAAACAUAUGGGAAUGUUCUGUAAACAAACACAGAACAAGGAAGCGUAAGCAUCAGGAACCUCCCACAAUGCAUUGCUCAACAGGGAUGUGAUAAUAAUGCAUGGAAUACUGUAUAAAGCUAAAGUCACGGUGCUGCAGACAGAGGACAACUUUUGAGAACUCACCUCAUUGUUAUAUAUGAGGUGGCGGUGAAAUAGUGAAAGUAUUAACGCUGUUGCACAGGGCUGAAAGUCUAAACUGAUAUCAAACAAUUAACUUCCUGGACUUCAACUCCAACUUCCUGAUCUGAAUAUUGUUUCCUUGAAGGUCACCGUCUGUUUCAUAAAUAUCUCCCUGAUAACCUCUCUUCAGACUUAAUUAAAGCAGAGGAAAGACUACCUCACGCAGUAAUGGGGAGUUUAUCAUUGACCUUCUGACAGGGCUAUUGGCCUCCAUUGGCCAUGUCAUCGCCCCCAUCUGAAACACCAUUGUACUGGGGUGGACACAAUUUGCCACUACCGCUAAUGACCAUUAGACUCUCUUUCAAAGAAGCAGAGGAAAUGGCUUAUCAGUAGAGUGGACUGAUCAAGUUAUUUGGAUCUCUUCUCAUUAUUGAGGACAUUCAGAGAGUUCGUCUGGUCCUCUCUGCUUUGUAGGACCAGAUACAGGGAAUUAUACUGUAAUAAUGCUGUUAUCGCAUUGUGGGAUGUUUUUCUGAGGUGCAUUGAAUUGGGCCUGAGAUGGAAAUCUGUUUCAUGGUCCUCAUGGUGUGUGUUGUAUAGUGGAGUUAGAAGAUUAAUAAGGGGAAUAAAAGACUGUUGAAAGGCUGUUGAACUGAGAGCUAUGUGUUGUGUUCACUUCCCAACUGCACGGACACUCGAGAUGUUGUUAAUCGGAUUGUCUUCUCUUUGAAAUGUUGAAAAACAUAAAGGGGCAAUGUCAGAUUUCAACUGUCAGUUCAUGACUUGAUACAAUCUGGCCCUGGUAUCAAUAAGUAAUGGGUUGGUUUUCUUAAAUACUGGAAAACUUCACCACAGUAGUUUAUGAUACUAUCAUGGCUCAUGGCUGUAUAUCUUAUAUAAACUGUAGCUUUAAUUAUAUGACUUGUAUAAUAGCUUGAAAGACUGGCCCCUAAUUGCAUGACUAUCCCUGCAAUGAACCGAGGCGCAGUCAAUUCGGAGAGUCGCUAAUUGCAAAUAAAAUUCCAUUUUAUGUAUGCGAAUGAGUUUCUACUGGUAUGUUUAUUAAUAUUUAACUUGAACAUUCUCGUGGGACUUCCUUGAUCUGUUUCAUUCACUGCACACACUUGGCAUGGUUUCAUUGUAGUUCUGAGCUCGCCUCUAGAAUUUUGCUCAGGGAGACAGCUUUUGACUCCAUGAGCGAGCACGACAUGUUCAGGAAAAUGCCAGAAAGGCUUUUGUCAAAUAAAACUGCAGAAAUGUUUAUUAAAGCAGGCAAGACCGUGCACAAUGGUAUACACACCAUUUCAUCAGAGCGAACAAACCCAGUAAGCUGUCAGAGACCAGAUGUCAGAACUGAACAUGUUUGCGCACAGAAUCACUCUCCAUCUGUAAGGCUUCUCUUCCACAGUGUUUCAUCCAUACAGAGGAUCAAAGAGGAAAUAGGAACUCUAUUGAUAUGCUAUAGAUCCUCUUCAAAUGUGUUAUGUAUAUUCUCCAAACAAAAGUGAUUUUGAUCUUAAAGGGAAACUUCACUGACACUAUUUGAGGUGUUUUUCCAGUCUCCCUACAUAAUUAUGAGGGAUGAGAGGUAUCUCGGACAUAAUUAUGAGGGAUGAGAGGUACCUCGGACAUAAUUAUGAGGGAUGAGAGGUACCUCGGACAUAAUUAUGAGGGAUGAGAGGUAUCUCAGACAUAAUUAUGAGGGAUGAGAGGUAUCUCAGACAUAAUUAUGCACCAUAGCGGUAUUUUAGAAUUUUCACACCGGGAGAGUUCAACCAAUGACGUCUUUGGUUGAGCCUGCUGUCUGAUCUAAAAAUGUAUUGAGUCAUGUUUCGUAGCGAUUACCAUGACCUUUGUGUUACACCGAUUGCUGGGUGAUGAAACAGAUUUUAAUGUUAUUUUACAUACUAAUAUAGGAGCAUACUACCCUAUUCAUUUGAGCUGGAAUACACUGAAGAGGAGUUGAGGCAGCAACAACAAGAAUUGCAAGACCAGCGAUGGGGAGCCCCAGUCAGACUCCGACUGGUGGUGCCGAUGCGGGUGCUGUCCAGCCAUGCCGACCGAAGAGGAAUGUUUGUGCUGCAACUAAUUAGAUCGCCGACAGUUCUUACUGGAGAGGGUCACUGCAGACCCCAUGGAUCAUGUGUCUGUGACAUCAAAGUUUCAAUGCACAUAUGGAUAGAGAUGUGUUGGAGACGUUCUUCAGAACCUCAAGGAUCAAGAUCAACUGGCAGCGACAGCCUAGAACAGCUGGACCAAGAGGGCAAAUGACAAACGAGACCUGAGCCCUAGGACCGUGCCUCAGGACUACCUGGCAUGAUGACUCCUUGCUGUCCACCUGGCCGUGCUUCUGCUCCAGUUCUGCCUGCGGCUAUGGAACCCUGACCUGUUCACCGGACGUGCUACCUGUCCCAGACCUGCUGUUUUCAACUCUCUAGAGACAGCAGGAGCAGUAGAGAUACUCUCAAUGAUCGGCUAUGAAAAGCCAACUGACAUUUACUCUUGAGGUGCUGACUUGUUGCACCCUCGACAACUACUGUGAUUAUUAUUAUUUGACCGUGCUGGUCAUUUAUGAACACUUGA